rnacentral:rRNA from 1 species
CCUACGGGUGGCUGCAGUAGGGAAUAUUGCUCAAUGGGGGAAACCCUGCAGCAGCAACGCCGCGUGGAGGAUGAAGGUUUUCGGAUUGUAAACUCCUUUUAUUAGAGAAGAUAAUGACGGUAUCUAACGAAUAAGCACCGGCUAACUCCGUGCCAGCAGCCGCGGUAAUACGGAGGGUGCCAGCGUUACUCGGAAUCACUGGGCGUAAACGGCGCGUAGGCGGGAUAGAAAGUCAGAUGUGAAAUCCAAUGGCUUAACCAUAGAACUGCAUUUGAUACUGUUAUGCUAGAGAAUAGGAGAGGUAGGCGGAAUUCUUGGUGUAGCGGUAAAAUCCGUAGAGAGCAAGAGGAAUACUCAUUGCGAAGGCGACCUGCUAGAACAUAACUGACGCUGAUGCGCGAAAGCGUGGGGAGCAAACAGGAUGAGAUACCCCUGUAGUC